rnacentral:tRNA from 1 species
GGAGGGUGUAGCUCAGUGGUAGAGCGUGUGCUUAGCAUGCACAAGGUCCUGGGUUCAAUCUCCAGUACCUCCA